GGGGCCUUAGCUUAAAUUAAAGUAUCUAAGUUGCAUUUAGAGGAUAUAGAAUGUUAUUUUAUAGGUCCUA
rnacentral:tRNA from 1 species